AGUGAACGCUGGCGGCAGGCCUAACACAUGCAAGUCGAACGGCAGCGGGUCAGUAGCAAUACUGAUGCCGGCGAGUGGCGGACGGGUGAGGAAUACAUCGGAAUCUACCUUGUCGUGGGGGAUAACGUAGGGAAACUUACGCUAAUACCGCAUACGAACUAUGGUUGAAAGCGGCGGACCGCAAGGCGUCGCGCGAUUGGAUGAGCCGAUGUCCGAUUAGCUAGUUGGCGGGUAAAGGCCCACCAAGGCGACGAUCGGUAGCUGGUCUGAGAGGAUGAUCAGCCACACUGGAACUGAGACACGGUCCAGACUCCUACGGGAGGCAGCAGUGGGGAAUAUUGGACAAUGGGCGCAAGCCUGAUCCAGCCAUACCGCGUGUGUGAAGAAGGCCUUCGGGUUGUAAGCACUUUGUU
rnacentral:rRNA from 1 species